UGGGGAAUAUUGGACAAUGGGCGCAAGCCUGAUCCAGCCAUGCCGCGUGAGUGAUGAAGGCCCUAGGGUUGUAAAGCUCUUUCACCGGUGAAGAUAAUGACAGUAACCGGAGAAGAAGCCCCGGCUAACUUCGUGCCAGCAGCCGCGGUAAUACGAAGGGGGCUAGCGUUGUUCGGAAUUACUGGGCGUAAAGCGCACGUAGGCGGAUCGAUCAGUUAGGGGUGAAAUCCCGGGGCUCAACCCCGGAACUGCCUCUAAUACUGUCGAUCUGGAGUUCGAGAGAGGUGAGUGGAAUUCCGAGUGUAGAGGUGAAAUUCGUAGAUAUUCGGAGGAACACCAGUGGCGAAGGCGGCUCACUGGCUCGAUACUGACGCUGAGGUGCGAAAGCGUGGGGAGCAAACA
rnacentral:rRNA from 1 species